GUUUCCGUAGUGUAGAGGUUAUCACGUUUGCCUUACAUCGCGAAAGGUCCCCAGUUCAAAACUGGGCGGAGACA